GACGUGGCGGCGCGAACGUCGCGCCGGGUGCUCUGGGCGUCCGGGAGGCGGUGGCGGGGCGGCGGCCACGCUCGCGCGGGCGUUGCGAGUGUUUCUUGAGCGCUCGUUCCGUGCCCGAUGUGAUGCCAAAAGCUUUAUUCCCUUUGAGCCCACUUCGCCUUGUGGAAUACACACGAUGCUUUUUGCAGCGGAGGAGCCGGAGAGAACUUUGGAGACACUGGAUCCCAUCAUCCAGCUACGUGGCCUGUAGCAAGUCAAUCCAUCUGGGAAAACGACCAUUGAGUGACGGCUGCAUACGUCACACGAAGAAUUCCCAAUACACAUAGCCCUGGCAACCUGUGAAGUUGGCGUUGCUACCUGCAUUUUGCAGAGGGGAACCAGUGGACGUGGUCCCUGUCCUGACAAGACAUAGUAUGCAAAAAGCUGCUCGAACUACAAGAGGAACUGUACAAGGUGUGAAGACGGUCGUGAGGAACAGCCACGUAACUUAGAGAUCCGCUGUGUUCUCCAGAAGCCAUCCCCCAAAUCCCCUCCACUGAAAAUGCCUGCUCCUCCCGAAGCCUUCUGUGAAUCUUCCAGGCAAAGUCUCUCCUCCGUGUUCAUCUGGCCCUGACCCCUCUUCUCCUUUAUAGUGCCGGUGCUGAUUUACCUGUCUGUUUUCACCACAGACUGUGUGUUCCUGGGGAUCCAGAUGCGUAGAUACUCAAUUUCACCCAGAGCCUGAUAAUAGAAAAUAGAGAAUAAGGCGAGCCUGGGACACUUCCCAAAGAGGCGGCUGGUGAGCCAUGCUCACCCACUGGCUUAUAGAUUUUCAGUGGAAACUUGGCAGAGCUGUGAGCUCACAGCUGCAGAUCUCUAGAGUGUCCUUAUGUUGUAGGAAAGCCACCGGCAGCAAAUCAUUCGGACUGAGUAGAGAACAGGUCCUUUGAAGUGACUGCUCCACGGUUUCAGAAUUUCUACAGACAGUCCAGGCAAUGGCUGCAGCUACUGAAAGUGUGUGAGAACUGAUUGUUUCGCUGAUAGAUGGCCAUCAGCAUUCUGAAAUCAGUGACUUCGCUUCCUACAACAAAAUUGCAGAAGGAUCCCAUCACGCUUAUGGAAUGACAGGAAGGCCAUCCAGGCUUGAGAGACAUUAACCUGAGAGAAGCACCCAGGGAUCACAGCAAACCCCUGCCAAGCAAAGGAGUUGGGCAUUCAGGAAAAAAAGGGGUGGGAGACAAGAACAACUUCUAUUGACAGACGGAAGGCAAAGGAAGUUUCUGAGAACAAGUCCUACCAUCAACUCCCAUGACAGCACAACCCUUUGAGGACAGAUCUUCUCCACGGGAGUUCACUCCUGAGCAUGGACCAGCUGGGUCCUUUGGGUAGGAUGCUGCUUGCACCAGCAUCCCAGGUUCCCGCAUCUGAAACAUUUUCCCAUGGGCCUUUACACCGGAGCAGGAUACCAUCGCUACCAUCUGGCUUGUGGGAGCCCGGGGUCCGUUUCUGAAACUCCCUAAUAACAAAUUCAGUCUUGCGUUCUCAUCCUUAUCCUGUGCCACCUCCCCGAUGUAACCGCCGUUUGUGGGUUUCACCUUGUAUUUUCUCAUCUGUGCCACCAUGCAGGGCUGACCCCUCUGAGAAUGCCAGUCGAGUGCAGCUGUGAGAACUGCUGAAGCCCCUACAGUGCUCAGGCUGCUGAACCACCAGAGAAUCAGCACUGAAUCAGUCCAGUUUUAGCCCAGAUGUGCCAUUCAACAAGUAUAUAACAAUGUGGAGGCCGGCCCGGGUCAGGUCAAAGAUCAGAAUUAGGGCCUGAAACUUCCCAGAGAAUUUGGCAGGAUCCUCUGAUAAACCUCACUAGCUUUUGCUUACAAUGACUUAAUUAAGGUGUGGAGAAAGGGACAUGUACUUUGGCUCAAUAUCUCGGUUACCAUGCCUCUCAGAGAACAGAGCAUGCUCACAUUUGGCCACUAGGGGGCCCCCACUGUGACUCCAAUUGGGCUGUCCUCCAGGGGGACCGGAGGUUUAAAGGGUGAGUGUCAUGGGAUAAUUGGAGGGACAGAAGAAUCACAUUCUAAGAGUGCAGGGGAGGAUCUGGUACCCCCUGGAGACACUCCCAGUAUCGGGACAUGCCGAGCUUGGGGUGGUACAGGACCACCCAGUAGUGGCUCAUCCACUGUAUCUAUCUGCUGCUCCCUUGUCUUCAAGACAGCAGGGCCAAGACAGAGCCUGCAGCUCCUUUUGUGAGUGAAGUGUUGAUACAGCACCUUAAAGGCUGUACGUAAGAAAUCCCUGACCCUUUCUGCUGCCUCCUGCAGACACUGAGUUGUGAGAAAGUAUUCAAGUUGAAAGGCCCAUUGAACAACCAGGUUUCUGCAUUCUCCAGUUUUUAUUUUGGCCAGACAGUGUUGCAAAGGACAGCAAGAUUCUUAGUUAUAACCAUCUAGUUUUAAGAUUUUCCAAAGGGGCCAGCACUGUGGCAUAGUGGGUAAAGCCACUGCCUGCAGUGCCAGCAUCCCAUAUGGGCGACAGUUUGAGUCUCAGCUGCUGCACUUCUGAUCCAGCUCUACUGGGAAAGCAGUGGAAGAUGGUCCAAGUCCUUGGGCCUCUGCACAUGCAUGGGAGACCUGGAGAAGCUCCUGGCUCCUGGCUUCAGAUCAGCUCAGCUCUGGCUGUUGCAGCCAAUUGGGGAGUGAACUAACGGAUGGAAGACCUCUCUCUCUUUCUGCCUCUCCUUCUCUCUGUGUGUAACUUUGACUUUCAAAUAAAUAAAUAAAUCUUUUAAAAACACAGUUUCCCAAUUAUUAAGAGUCCAGGGGGAGCCGGUGCUGUGGCGCAGCAGGUCAACGCCCUGGCCUGAAGCACUGGCAUCCCAUAUGGGCGCCGGUUCUAGUCUCGGCUGCUCCUCU